GUGGCUGUUGCCUAGCGGUUAAGGCGCCAGAUUGUGGAUCUGGAGAUCGCGGGUUCGAAUCCCGUCAGCCACC
rnacentral:tRNA from 1 species